rnacentral:tRNA from 1 species
GUCUCCGUGGCGCAAUUGGUUAGCGCGUUCGGCUGUUAACCGAAAGGUUGGUGGCUCAAGCCACCCGGGGACA